AUUGAACGCUGGCGGCAGGCCUAACACAUGCAAGUCGAGCGGUAGAGAGGUGCUUGCAUCUCUUGAGAGCGGCGGACGGGUGAGUAAUGCCUAGGAAUCUGCCUAGUGGUGGGGGAUAACGUUCGGAAACGGACGCUAAUACCGCAUACGUCCUACGGGAGAAAGCGGGGGGAUCUUCGGACCUCGCGCCAUUAGAUGAGCCUAGGUCGGAUUAGCUAGUUGGUGAGGUAAUGGCUCACCAAGGCGACGAUCCGUAACUGGUCUGAGAGGAUGAUCAGUCACACUGGAACUGAGACACGGUCCAGACUCCUACGGGAGGCAGCAGUGGGGAAUUUUGGACAAUGGGCGAAGCCUGAUCCAGCAAUGCCGCGUGCAGGAAGAAGGCC
rnacentral:rRNA from 1 species